CCCCCCCCCAGUCUAUGCAGAAUAGCUGACAUUCUUCCUUCCCUCUUAGAGGGCAGAUUAGCACCACCUGUCUUGGCUAACAUUCACGGGAUUCAGCAGGAAAACUAGUAUUAGGGAGGGAAAACUCCCUGAAUGUGGUAUUUUGGGAUUACUUCUUUGGUUGCGAAACCGCUACCUUUGUAUUCAAAGGUGAUGAGACAUUUUUCUGGCUAGAAACAGAGUUGGCGCAGUGAGGUGUCAAGUUCAAAGGAGACCCUGAAAAGAUCUAAGCCCGAUUUGAGCCAAAGCCUUGGGAGGAAGUUGCAACUGCCCUGGAGCCAAAUGCAUCCUGCAAACAGCCAAGUGGAAGAUCUCACACAGAAGCCGUUUGUAAACGGUUCCCAGGUGGCUACAACACAGCAAACUUUGAGACUUCAGACUCCCAGCGCUCAUCUUCCCAAUGAUCCAUCCCAGGAAGGUGAACAUAUGACAAUGUUUCUAGAAGAAAAGGAGUUAUUAGAGACUCAACAAAACCAGGAUUUGGAAGUGGACAGGCAAAUGUCAUUUGACAGAGCGAGAAGCUCAGCUGCGAGCUCCUUUCCAUCCAUUGGAGAAGGGUAUCCUGCUCGGUGGGGAUUUUUUUUCAGACACGUGGUGACUGAUGCUUGUGUCUAGGGAAGAAAUUUUGACCCCACUGUUGUACUGUGUUGGGAGAUCUGGAUUCCAGAACGUUCACAUGGAUCUCUCAGUGAUCCUGAUUUGCCCCUGUGAGCCUUGCUUUCACCCCACCACAAGGAGGAAUGGUGAACUUCGUCUUCACUGAGAAAUGUGCUCUUCAUGCAGGCAACCAAACCAAAGAAAGAGAUGGCCCGAUCUGUGUAAUGGAACACUCCAGUGCUGAUUGGUUGGGGGAAAAGACUCCCCCAUGCUUGUCUUUUUAUUUUGAAAGGAUCAAUGGCCACAAGCGCAUUAAGUUAUACUCUUGAUGUCAGAGAUUUUGUAAUCUAGUUGCAAGGUAAGAAGCCUGUGUAAAGAGUUGACUUAGUAUCUGCAUAGGUGAAGUGGAGAGAGACUGGAUGGGCACGCAUGCCUGCUUUCCAGGGACUUGGCUUUGAUCUGGAGUGACCUCCCCCUUGGUGACCCCUUGGCUGGCUACUAAGUCUAAAUAGUUGUCUGGCAUCCUUUCUCUUGGUCUCUUUGUUCUUUUAUUCAACAAUUGCGUCUUAAAACCCAAGAA
rnacentral:lncRNA from 1 species